AACGCUGGCGGCGUGCUUAACACAUGCAAGUCGAACGAUGAUCCGGUGCUUGCACCGGGGAUUAGUGGCGAACGGGUGAGUAACACGUGAGUAACCUGCCCUUAACUCUGGGAUAAGCCUGGGAAACUGGGUCUAAUACCGGAUAUGACUCCUCAUCGCAUGGUGGGGGGUGGAAAGCUUUAUUGUGGUUUUGGAUGGACUCGCGGCCUAUCAGCUUGUUGGUGAGGUAAUGGCUCACCAAGGCGACGACGGGUAGCCGGCCUGAGAGGGUGACCGGCCACACUGGGACUGAGACACGGCCCAGACUCCUACGGGAGGCAGCAGUGGGGAAUAUUGCACAAUGGGCGCAAGCCUGAUGCAGCGACGCCGCGUGAGGGACGACGGCCUUCGGGUUGUAAACCUCUUUCAGUAGGGAAGAAGCGAAAGUGACGGUACCUGCAGAAGAAGCGCCGGCUAACUACGUGCCAGCAGCCGCGGUAAUACGUAGGGCGCAAGCGUUAUCCGGAAUUAUUGGGCGUAAAGAGCUCGUAGGCGGUUUGUCGCGUCUGCCGUGAAAGUCCGGGGCUCAACUCCGGAUCUGCGGUGGGUACGGGCAGACUAGAGUGAUGUAGGGGAGACUGGAAUUCCUGGUGUAGCGGUGAAAUGCGCAGAUAUCAGGAGGAACACCGAUGGCGAAGGCAGGUCUCUGGGCAUUAACUGACGCUGAGGAGCGAAAGCAUGGGGAGCGAACAGGAUUAGAUACCCUGGUAGUCCAUGCCGUAAACGUUGGGCACUAGGUGUGGGGGACAUUCCACGUUUUCCGCGCCGUAGCUAACGCAUUAAGUGCCCCGCCUGGGGAGUACGGCCGCAAGGC
rnacentral:rRNA from 1 species